rnacentral:rRNA from 1 species
UAUCGAGUUUUUGAACGGGUUGUCUGCUGACUCGCGAGAGUAUGUGCACGCCUGGCUCAUCCACACUCACUUCUGUGCACUUUUCAUAGGCCGGCUCAAGGGUGGUGCGCUUUCGCGCACGCCCGAAGGCUUAGGCUUAUGCUUUACAACAAACGAUUCAGUUAUAGAAUGUCUUGCUUGCGAUAACGCAACUAUAUACAACUUUCAGCAACGGAUCUCUUGGCUCUCGCAUCGAUGAAGAACGCAGCGAAAUGCGAUAAGUAAUGUGAAUUGCAGAAUUCAGUGAAUCAUCGAAUCUUUGAACGCACCUUGCGCUCCUUGGUAUUCCGAGGAGCAUGCCUGUUUGAGUCUCAUGGAAUUCUCAACCUUCAACUUUAUUGAUGAAGGCUUGGACUUGGAGGUCGUGUCGGCUCUCGUAGUCGACUCCUCUGAAAUGCAUUAGUGCGAACGUUACCAGCCGCUUCAGCGUGAUAAUUAUCUGCGCUGCUGUGGGGGGUAAGUGAGUGUUCACGCUUCGAACCGUCUUCGGACAACAUUUCUGAACUCUGAGCUCAAAUCAGGUAGGACUACCCGCUGAACUUAAGCAUAUCAAUAAGCGGAGGAAAAGAAACUAACAAGGAUUCCCCUAGUAACUGCGAGUGAAGCGGGAAAAGCUCAAAUUUAAAAUCUGGCGGUCUUCGGCCGUCCGAGUUGUAAUCUGGAGAAGCGUUUUCCGCGCUGGACCGUGUACAAGUCUCUUGGAACAGAGCGUCAUAGAGGGUGAGAAUCCCGUCUUUGACACGGACUACCAGUGCUUUGUGAUGCGCUCUCGAUGAGUCGAGUUGUUUGGGAAUGCAGCUCAAAA